AACUUUUGACAACGGAUCUCUUGGUUCUCGCGUCGAUGAAGAACGCAGCGAAAUGCGAUAAGUAAUGUGAAUUGCAGAAUUCAGUGAAUCAUCGAACCUUUGAACGCACAUCGCGCCCUUUGGUAUUCCGAGGGGCAUGCCUUUUCGAGCGUCAUCACAACAAUCCAGCUUAGAGUUGCGUAGAGAUGCGCAAUGUGGCUGGCGCUUGGGCGAUCGUCUGCAAACAGCAGACGGGCCUCAAAGACCAUGGCAGCCUUGUCUGUUGGCACUAGCGUAGUAUAUAUACAAAGCGCUAUGGCGUCCUUCGCUGGCUUGUCCACAUAACUUCAUUAGUACCAGUUUGACCUCGGAUAAGGCAGGGGUACCCGCUGAACUUAAGCAUAUCAAUAAGCGGAGGCU
rnacentral:misc_RNA from 1 species